rnacentral:rRNA from 1 species
AAAUUGAAGAGUUUGAUCAUGGCUCAGAUUGAACGCUGGCGGCAGGCCUAACACAUGCAAGUCGAACGGUAACAGGAAGCAGCUUGCUGCUUCGCUGACGAGUGGCGGACGGGUGAGUAAUGUCUGGGAAACUGCCUGAUGGAGGGGGAUAACUACUGGAAACGGUAGCUAAUACCGCAUAAUGUCGCAAGACCAAAAAGGGGGACCUUCGGGCCUCUUGCCAUCGGAUGUGCCCAGAUGGGAUUAGCUAGUAGGUGGGGUAACGGCUCACCUAGGCGACGAUC